rnacentral:rRNA from 1 species
UACGUAGGGUGCAAGCGUUGUCCGGAAUUAUUGGGCGUAAAGAGCUCGUAGGCGGUCUGUUGCGUCGGCUGUGAAAACCCGGGGCUCAACUCCGGGCUGCGCGGAUACGGGCAGACUAGAGUUCGGAGCAGGGGAGACUGGAAUUCCUGGUGUAGCGGUGAAAUGCGCAGAUAUCAGGAGGAACACCGAUGGCGAAGGCAGGUCUCUGGGCAUUAACUGACGCUGAGGAGCGAAAGCAUGGGGAGCGAACAGG